GAUGAACGCUGGCGGCGUGCCUAAUACAUGCAAGUCGAGCGAACGGACGAGAAGCUUGCUUCUCUGAUGUUAGCGGCGGACGGGUGAGUAACACGUGGAUAACCUACCUAUAAGACUGGGAUAACUUCGGGAAACCGGAGCUAAUACCGGAUAAUAUUUUGAACCGCAUGGUUCAAAAGUAAAAGACGGUCUUGCUGUCACUUAUAGAUGGAUCCGCGCUGCAUUAGCUAGUUGGUAAGGUAACGGCUUACCAAGGCAACGAUGCAUAGCCGACCUGAGAGGGUGAUCAGCCACACUGGAACUGAGACACGGUCCAGACUCCUACGGGAGGCAGCAGUAGGGAAUCUUCCACAAUGGGCGAAAGCCUGACGGAGCAACGCCGCGUGAGUGAUGAAGGUCUUCGGAUCGUAAAACUCUGUUAUUAGGGAAGAACAUAUGUGUAAGUAACUGUGCACAUCUUGACGGUACCUAAUCAGAAAGCCACGGCUAACUACGUG
rnacentral:rRNA from 1 species